rnacentral:rRNA from 1 species
CUUUAGUUUACUAUAGAAGCGGUUAGUGGCGGACUGGUGAGUAACGCGUAAGCAAUCUGCCUAUUAGAGGGGGAUAACAGUGAGAAAUCACUGCUAAUACCGCAUAAGCUGUGAAUAUCGCAUGAUAUGAAUAGAAAAGGAGUAAUCCACUGAUAGAUGAGCUUGCGUCUGAUUAGUUAGUUGGUGAGGUAACGGCCCACCAAGACGAUGAUCAGUAGCCGGACUGAGAGGUUAAACGGCCACAUUGGGACUGAGAUACGGCCCAGACUCCUACGGGAGGCAGCAGUCGGGAAUAUUGCGCAAUGGAGGAAACUCUGACGCAGUGACGCCGCGUGCAGGAAGAAGGUUUUCGGAUUGUAAACUGCUUUAGACAGGGAAGAAAGAAAUGACGGUACCUGUAGAAUAAGCUCCGGCUAACUACGUGCCAGCAGCCGCGGUAAUACGUAGGGAGCAAGCGUUAUCCGGAUUUAUUGGGUGUAAAGGGUGCGUAGACGGGUAUACAAGUUAGUAGUGAAAUCCCUCGGCUUAACUGAGGAACUGCUACUAAAACUAUAUAUCUUGAGUACUGGAGGGGAAAGCGGAAUUCCUAGUGUAGCGGUGAAAUGCGUAGAUAUUAGGAAGAACACCGGUGGCGAAGGCGGCUUUCUGGACAGAAACUGACGUUGAGGCACGAAAGUGUGGGGAGCAAACAGGAUUAGAUACCCUGGUAGUCCACACCGUAAACGAUGGAUACUAGGUGUAGGUGGUGAUGAAUCAUCU